rnacentral:rRNA from 1 species
GAUGAACGCUGGCGGCGUGCUUAACACAUGCAAGUCGAGCGAGAAGUUUUGAAAAGAUUCUUCGGAUGAAAUUUAAAAUGGAAAGCGGCGGACGGGUGAGUAACGCGUAGGCAACCUGCCCCAUACAAAGGGAUAGCAUUUGGAAACGAAUAUUAAUACCUUAUGAAACUUAACUAGUGCAUGCUAGGUAGGUCAAAGAUUUAUCGGUAUGGGAUGGGCCUGCGUCUGAUUAGCUAGUUGGUGAGGUAACGGCUCACCAAGGCGACGAUCAGUAGCCGACCUGAGAGGGUGAACGGCCACAUUGGAACUGAGACACGGUCCAAACUCCUACGGGAGGCAGCAGUGGGGAAUAUUGCACAAUGGGGGAAACCCUGAUGCAGCAACGCCGCGUGAACGAUGAAGGCCUUUGGGUAGUAAAGUUCUGUUCUAGGUGAUGAAAACUGACAGUAACCUAGGAGAAAGCCCCGGCUAACUCCGUGC